ensembl:lncRNA
AAAAAAAAAAAAAAAAAAAAAAAAAAAAACUUUUUAUCAAAAUGUGAAACAUUACUUAAUAACAAAUGUUACAUAAUCAAAUUGUUUAAUAGUAUAGUACCUUAUAAUAAAAAAUAUAAACACAAAUGCUAUUUUCCGAAAGUGAACACUUUUGAUGGUUUUAAAAAAAUAAAAGUAAAACAAACGAACAAAAAAAAUAAAAAAAAAAAAUGGCUAAUAAAUAUAGAAACUUCAAUUUUAAACAUUUUAAAAUUAGUAUAUUCUAAAAAGGAUGUAAAACGAAAGCAAAUACGAAUGUACAAUGACGCUCAUAAUAGUAUACAAAAUGGGGAUAGUGGACAAAUGAAUUCUUCGAUUGUAGACUUACCGCAUAUCGAGGAAAAUACUUUUAAAAAUAAAAAACGGUUGAAUGUACCACGUUAUAAUAAUAACAAAUUAAGUAGUACCGUAGAUAUAAUAUAUAUACACCCUUUAUAUAUCCCAAAACAAAAAAACAUAUUUAAUUACAUGAGCACGUUUGAAGAAGAGAUCUGUUUGUUCUCACCAACCGAAAAAGCACGUGCAGAUCCACUAGUCACACUGGACACAUAACAAAUACAGUUGUUUGUCUGAACAAUAUACAAAGCAGUACUAACAAAUACGUUGAUAACAUUUCGAGUGCAAACAACGCAGAAGAAAUGGCAAAAGAAAUGGCAGAAGACGCAGCAAAAGAAGAAGAAGCAAAAGAGAUUUCGAACGAAUUAUUCCAAAAAUCAAGCCAACAGUCAACCCAAUUAUACAUGAGUGGGUAUUGAAUUUUUAUAAAAACGAGAGUUUGUGGGAAAUGUUGGAGGAGUAUAACAAGGACACUGGAGAUGUCUUCAGUCGCAACAGUAACGGAAGUAGCGAAAGUAACGAAAGUAACGAAAGUAACGAAAGUAACGAAAGUAGCGAAAGUAACGAAAGUAACGAAAGUAACAAUGGCAAAACCAGUUACGAUGAUAAAAGUGUGGCAUUUACAAAUUACUUUAAGGACCAGCAUAAUAAGGCAAAACUAUUAAUAUUAAAUGGUGUUACUUUAUAUAUGUUUAUUGAUUAUAAAAUAGUUGAAAAAAUUUCAUAUUUUUAUAUAAACAUGGUAAAAAAUAAUAAAAAAAGCAGUAGACAGAGUGAGAUCAACAGUAUUGGUAUAAACAACAAUCUCUAUUGUAACAAUAGAAGUAUUAUAUACGAACUACUUAUAUCAUCAAACACUUUUUAUUGCACAAAUAAUAAUCAAAUUUUUAAUAUUUUUUUACACUUAUAUAAUUAUGUUGACGAUAUAUAUACAAAAGUAAUGAAAAAAUACACUAUAUAUAAUCAAAUCCAGGAAAAUAAAAAUACGCAUUUAACUUUUUAUAUUAACAAUUCGCAUGUUAUGGGUAUUCAUUUUUUAAACUAUUUGUUCAACAUUUGUGAGUGGCAAUUACAAAAACAAAAUUUCUCCUUUUUAAACGAUCUACUACAAAAGUUCAAGCCACUUCGAAAUUUAUGUAUACUAUACUGUUUAGAAAACAUAAAAAAUUUAAACACAAAACGAAAAUACUUGAGCGAAUUGAAAGCUUGUAAAAAAAAUAUAUAUUUGUAUAACUAUAUAAGCGAUAUUAAAGUAAAAGUAAAGUUGGCUUGUUUAAUUUAUUAUUUUUAUAAAAGGUAUGGACAUAUAUCAGCAGGAGGGGAAACAGAGACAGUAGCAGGGGAAACAGCUACGGCAACAGUUGCGGCAACAACAACUACAGCAACAACAACAGCAACAACAGCAACAACAGCAACAACAACAGCAACAACAACAGCAACAACAACAGCANNNNNNNNNNCAACAACAGCAACAACAACAGCAACAACAACAGCAACAACAACAGCAACAGCAACAACAACAACAACAGCAACAACAACAAUGAUAAAAAAAAAAAAAGAACAAAAAAAAAUAACAAAAACGGACAUAUACAACAAAUUAAAACAUGUAUCUAUUGCUUACUUUUUAAAUGAGUACAAUUUGAUACAAUUUGUUAAUUACACAUUUUUAAUCAACUUAAAAAGUAAAAUAAAAAAUUUUGCAUUAAGAAAUGAAGUGUGUAUAAAUACAAAUAUUUUAAUUUUAUAUGUAAUGAUUAAAGACGUAUACAUUUAUUUGAACGGGACCAACAAUACUUUAAAAAUUAAUCAUUAUUAUAAACUAAUAUCUUAUGGAGAAUAUAGAAUAAAAGCGUUAUUAUACAUAUUUGUGUUACUAUUUCAAUAUAUAAGAUAUAAAAAUGUUAUUUCUAACAAGUUUAUUUAUUUGAUUCGAUUUUUAUAUUUAAAGUUGAAUAAAAUAAAAUAUAACAAGUUUUAUUUUUUUAUAAAACUAAAAUGUAUUUUAUUUAAAAUUGUUAAAGACAUAUACACUCGAUUAUUUACUUUAUUUUUAACAUAUAGAACUAAUAUGACUAAUAAAAAAAAAAAUAAAACGUACCACUUUAUUAAUAACAUUUUGAAUUAUAACAAAAAAAUAAAAUCGGGUUUUAUAUGUUAUAAAUGUUUGGGAUUUAAACAAAAUUUUAAAGAAAAAGAAAAAAUUGUGACUAGAUCAGUAAAUACAUUUAGUUGGUUAUCCAUGGAGGAUGGUGAAAUAAAAGAAAAUAUGUUAUGUGAAAAAUCGAGACCGAGCAAGCUGAUAAAAAUAAAUAAAAAAACGAGUUUAAAUAAAAAAACGAAUUUAAAUAAAAAAACGAGUUUAAAUAAAAAAACGAAUUUAAAUAAACAAACAUAUUCAAACCGAAACAUAACAAACGAAACAAAUAAAAUAACUGAUUGUCUUAAUACUUUGUCAUACCCUCCUUACCCUCCUCUCCAAAAAAAAAAACAUUUAUUAAUUAACACGUUAUCAGUUACAUAUGAUAGUAAUAGAUAUUCAAAAAAAACGAAAUUAAAGAUUCUUUUAUUUUUAUUAAAGUUUGAAAAAUGGUACCAUUGGAUAAAUAGUACUAAACAAUUAGCUUAUAAAAAAAAAAAAAAAAUGAACAAGUUAGAAAAAUGGUAUAUAAAAAAAAAAAAUAAAAAUUUAGAUUAUAAUUUUUAUGAAUUAAUGUUUAGUGAGCCACAAGAAUAUAUAUAUAAAAUAAUAACAGAUUGUACAAAUAAUAAUAUGAACAUGUUCAUGUAUUAUAAGUAUAAAAAGUAUUUUACAAAAACACAUAUAUAUAAUCUAUUGUUUUAUAUAAAGUUAAAUUAUUUAUUUAAGUCGGUUUAUAUGGGUGUUGUUAGUAAUGGCUCACUCACUCAGAGAUUUUUGUCUUUCGAUGCUAAAAUAAAUCAACCUAUUAUAACAAAAAAAACAAAAAAAAAAACAAAAAAAAAAACAAAAAAAAAAACAAAAAAAAAAAACACCAAUUUAGUCAUUUUUUUACGAUAUAUUACAUUAUUAUAUGAUAAAUAUAAUAGAAACGAAUUUAACAUAUAUAUAUUUAACAAUACAAAAAAAAUAGAUCUAUUUUUUAUUUAUAAUUUUAUGAGUAUGUGUGUUUGUUAUACAAAUGAAAUUAGUAAAGGGUUGGCUCUUUUGAAUUUUAUUAAAAAAAGAAUAAAUGAAAUAUGGUAUGGGUCAAAUAUAAAUGCGAAUUCAAGUAAAGAGUCAGAUAAAAAAAAAAACAGCGAAGAACAAAGCUUAAAAAAAAACUAUUUGUUACACUUUUUGUUUUCCUUUGUUAAAAGAUUGUACAUACUAAUAAAUAUAAAAAAAAAAAAAGUGACAAUAAUAAUGAUAAUAAUGAUAAUAAUAAGAAGAAUGUAA